rnacentral:rRNA from 1 species
AGCGUAGACGGACUGGCAAGUCUGAUGUGAAAGGCGGGGGCUCAACCCCUGGACUGCAUUGGAAACUGUUAGUCUUGAGUGCCGGAGAGGUAAGCGGAAUUCCUAGUGUAGCGGUGAAAUGCGUAGAUAUUAGGAGGAACACCAAUGGCGAAGGCGGCUUACUGGACGGUAACUGACGUUGAGGCUCGAAAGCGUGGGGAGCAAACA